UACGUAGGUGGCAAGCGUUGUCCGGAUUUACUGGGCGUAAAGAGCGCGCAGGCGGUCGUUCAAGUCGCGUGUGAAAGCCCCCGGCUCAACUGGGGAGGGUCACGCGAUACUGAUCGACUCGAAGGCAGGAGAGGGAAGUGGAAUUCCCGGUGUAGUGGUGAAAUGCGUAGAUAUCAGGAGGAACACCAAUGGCGAAGGCAGCACUCUGGGACGUGACUGACGCUGAGACGCGAAAGCGUGGGGAGCAAACAGG
rnacentral:rRNA from 1 species